CAGCAGAACGAGGAAGAGGAAGAGGAGGAGGAGGAACAGGAAGAGGACCGCUGGGUUCUGCCACGCACCUGAGACGGCAUGCGGGCGGCACCCUUGAUUAAUGGCUACAGACCAUGAGUGCGGGUAGAGCACAACCACCACUCUGGAGGAGGCCUGAGGGGACGGCGCCCAGGCUCUGUGCUGGAGGAGUCAGCGACAACCAGCAGCCUUCCGCCCUCAUCCCAGGCGAAGGUA